rnacentral:rRNA from 1 species
GACGGAGGGUGCAAGCGUUGUUCGGAUUGACUGGGCGUAAAGGGCGUGUAGGCGGUUGGUCAAGUCUGAUGUGAAAGCCCGGGGUUCAGCCCCGGAAGGGCAUCGGAAACUAGCCAGCUGGAGCGCGAGUAGAGGAGGGUGGAAUUCCUGGUGUAGCGGUGAAAUGCGUAGAUAUCAGGAGGAACACCGGCGGCGAAGGCGGCCCUCUGGAUCGAUUGCUGACGCUGAGACGCGAAAGCGUGGGGAGCAAACAGG